rnacentral:rRNA from 1 species
GACGAACGCUGGCGGCGUGCCUAACACAUGCAAAUCGAGCGAAGAACUUCGGUUCUUAGCGGCGGACGGGUGAGUAACACGUGGGUAACCUGCCUCAAAGAGGGGGAUAGCCUCCCGCAAGGGAGAUUAAUACCGCAUAAUAUUAGAUCUUCACAUGGAGAUUUAAUUAAAGGAGUAAUCCGCUUUGAGAUGGGCCCGCGGCGCAUUAGCUAGUUGGUGAGGUAACGGCCCACCAAGGCGACGAUGCGUAGCCGACCUGAGAGGGUGAUCGGCCACAUUGGAACUGAGACACGGUCCAGACUCCUACGGGAGGCAGCAGUGAGGAAUCUUCCACAAUGGACGAAAGUCUGAUGGAGCGACACCGCGUGAAGGAUGAAGGCCUAACGGUUGUAAACUUCUUUUCUGAGGGAGCAUAAUGAGAGUACUUCAGGAAUAAGGAACGGCAAAUCACGUGCCAGCCGCCCCGUAA